UCUGGUAACUGUAUCUUUCCUAUUAUGUGUCUCAGAUCACAAAGAAAAAAACCAGCCAGAAACCCACGUAUGUCAACCUAAGAGAGUCUGGAAGACAUGAAAUCUCACUGCUGAGAAAAUGGUGUCAAUAGGAUAUCAAUACCCCGAAUUGGCUGUGGCCUGGACCAGCUGCAGUGGUCAAAGGUGUCAAAGAUCCUGGAACAGAUCUUUAAAGAGACAAAUAUCUCCAUCACAGUGGACAGCCUGCCCUGUGUUGGGUCAAAGCUUCAAAUGCAUGCCAUGUAGUACAUUUUCAUUGGGGGUUUUUUAACUUUAAAUCCUUUAUAAUCUCUUAAAAUUUUGGAUGAAAUCAACACUCCUUAAACAGUUUUAAGGAAACAAUAAAUAAGGAAAC